GACGAACGCUGGCGGCGCGCUUCACACAUGCAAGUCGAACGAGAAACCCGGGCUUGCCCGGGUGGACAGUGGCGAACGGGUGAGUAACACGUGAGCAACCUGCCCCGAAGACGGGCAUAAGCCGGGGAAACCUGGUCUAAUGCCCGAUGCCCUCACCGGACCGCAUGAUUCGGUGAGGAAAGCUCCGGUGCUUCGGGAUGGGCUCGCGGCUUAUCAGCUUGUUGGUGGGGUCACGGCCCACCAAGGCGACGACGGGUAGCUGGUCUGAGAGGAUGUCCAGCCACACUGGGACUGAGACACGGCCCAGAGUCCUACGGGAGGCAGCAGUGGGGAAGCUUGCGCAAUGGGCGAAAGCCUGACGCAGCGACGCCGCGUGCGGGAUGAAGGCCUUCGGGUUGUAAACCGCUUUCAGCAGGGACGAAAUUGACGGUACCUGCAGAAGAAGCCCCGGCCAACUACGUGCCAGCCGCCGCGGUAACAC
rnacentral:rRNA from 1 species